rnacentral:tRNA from 1 species
GGAGAGGUGCCAGAGUGGCCGAAUGGGACGGUCUCGAAAACCGUUGUGGGAGAGAUCUCACCGAGGGUUCGAAUCCCUCUCUCUCCGCCA